GCCCAGAUGGCGGAAUUGGUAGACGCGCUGGACUCAAAAUCCAGUGGUAGCAAUACUGUGCAGGUUCGAUUCCUGUUCUGGGCA
rnacentral:tRNA from 1 species